rnacentral:lncRNA from 1 species
GAAGAUCGUAACUACAGAUUUUAGGAAAAGCGGUCCACAUUGUUCAGAGAGCAUCCACAGGUCCUGGGAUGCCAUUAAUCGACUCUCAAAUACUGUGGUUUGCAGUGGCUUACUGGAGCCCUUCACUUAUGCAGCCCAUUAACUUCUCAGGACAUCCAACAUUUGAAAGACUGGAUCUCUGAAACCUGGGUGAAUCUGGCAAUGGUGGACUAUCCUUAUGCCUCUAACUUUUUACAGCCUUUGCCUGCUUGGCCUAUCAAGGUAGUGUGCCAGUAUUUGAAAAAUCCCAAUGUAUCUGAUUCACUGCUGCUGCAGAAUAUUUUCCAAGCUCUGAAUGUAUAUUACAAUUAUUCGGGCCAGGUGAAAUGCCUGAAUAUUUCAGAGACAGCAACUAGCAGUCUGGGAACACUGGGUUGGAGCUAUCAGGCCUGCACAGAAGUAGUCAUGCCCUUUUGUACUAAUGGUGUCGAUGACAUGUUUGAACCUCACUCAUGGAACUUAAAGGAACUUUCUGAUGACUGUUUUCAACAGUGGGGUGUGAGACCAAGGCCCUCCUGGAUCACUACUAUGUAUGGAGGCAAAAACAUUAGUUCACACACAAACAUUGUUUUCAGCAAUGGUGAACUAGACCCCUGGUCAGGAGGUGGAGUAACUAAGGAUAUCACAGACACUCUGGUUGCAGUCACCAUCUCAGAGGGGGCCCACCACUUAGAUCUCCGCACCAAGAAUGCCUUGGAUCCUAUGUCUGUGCUGUUAGCCCGCUCCUUGGAAGUUAGACAUAUGAAGAAUUGGAUCAGAGAUUUCUAUGACAGUGCGGGAAAGCAGCACUGAGAAACUUUUGAUUGUUUUCAAUUUCUUCUUUUAUGUUCACACCACCACAUUCCCAUUCACUUUGAUUUUCUACAUGUAAUUACCUUCUUUUGUUUAUCAUUAGAUUUGAUGGGGCCAAAGUUGAGAUAGAAUAGAGGGUGAUGACGGUAAGAGCAAGUGUCCCAUGAAUGUGAUUUCCUGGGUUCUCACUGUCUUUGCACCACGUCUAGGAAGAAUCUUCUUGAUAGCUCUCCCACACCAUCAGUGGCCCUCAUAACUGGAGUAGAGUUCCUGGUUGCUUUUCAUAAGAGGGAGAGUUACUUUCUUUGUAUCUCUGCAAGCAGAGAUUUCUCUUUGGUUUUGAGGUUGAAGUGUCUUUGGCCCAUUUGUAAGUCCCCAUCCCUACCCUACACAAAGUAAAAGCAGAAGAUAGAUAAAAAAUGAUGUAAUUGCAGCUGGUAGGAUGUCUGGUGCCAAUCCAGGAAGUGAGAGCCAUUUCUUUUGUACCGGAUUUAAUGACUUUGAACUGUGCUGUAAAUAAAUAAUACAGCUGGACC